rnacentral:pre_miRNA from 1 species
CAGGCCCAGCCCCGCCCCAGCAGCACAUCAUGGUUUGUGGGGUCUCGUGGCACAGACCAUGGCGUGGUGCUACCGCGGGGCCGGGGAGAC